CACAUGUGUUGCGCGGCUCACCGGUGUUGUAACAGUGGUAAUUCCAGUUCCACGAAGUUUUUAAAGGUUUCCUUAUUGCCGCAGGUUCUGCUCAGCGAUUUGGCCAAUGUCGCCGUGCGGCCAGCGGACCUGCAAACGUCUUGCGUUCCCCCUCGCGCUCUGCAUCGACAACACGGCGCCGUCUCACGUCUCGCCGAUGAGCCCGGGUCACGCCAUGCCACUCUCCGGAACCGAACAUGCGCGAACGGAUGGCGCCGAGACGACGGUGUGCCUUUGCUGCUGCUGCUGCUGCUGCUCCUGCUGUAAUCGCGUGUCAGCAAUAGCCCUCCUUUCUCGAAGGACCCAGCAUGAAUAUCGAUGGCUGUUGGCG